rnacentral:tRNA from 1 species
CAAAGAGUAGUUAAAUUUCUAGAAUCCUAGCUUUGGGAGCUAGAGGUGGGAGUUAGAAUCUCCUCUCUUUGA